GAUGGUAUAACUCCGUGCUAGAGCACAUGCCUGGCAUGCACGAGGUCCUGGGUUCAAUCCCCAGUCCCUUCA
rnacentral:tRNA from 1 species